rnacentral:rRNA from 1 species
AUGCAGUCAGACUGGGAUGGUGAGUAUGAAAAAUUGAACUCUUUUUUCCAAAAGAUUGGUAUCUCUCACCAGGUUUCAUGCCCACAUGCUUAUCAGCAAAACGGUUCUGCCGAGCGCAAGCACCGUCACAUCGUUGAAGUAGGUCUCACCCUUCUAGCUUCAGCUUCCAUGCCACUCCAGUUUUGGGAUGAAGCGUUUCUCACUGCCGUACACCUCAUUAACAUGUGGCCAAGUCAUGUUAUUUCCAAUGAAACUCCCACUGAACGCCUCUUGCAUGUUUCACCAGAUUACACCACUCUUCGUGUCUUUGGUUGUGCCUGUUGGCCCAACCUUCGUCCCUAUAAUACUCGUAAGCUCACGUUUCGAUCCAAAGAGUGUGUU